rnacentral:rRNA from 1 species
CCUACGGGAGGCAGCAGUGGGGAAUAUUGCACAAUGGGCGAAAGCCUGAUGCAGCAACGCCGCGUGAGCGAUGAAGGCCUUCGGGUCGUAAAGCUCUGUCCUCAAGGAAGACAAUGACGGGACUUGAGGAGGAAGCCCCGGCAAACUACGUGCCAGCAGCCGCGGAAAUACGUAGGGGGCUAGCUUAAUCCGGAAUUACUGGGCGAAAAGGGUGCGUAGGUGGUUUCUUAAGUCAAUGGUGAAAGGCUACGGUUCAACCGUAGUAAGCCUUUGAAACUGGGGAACUUGAGUGCAGGAGAGGAGAGUGGAAUUCCUAGUGUAGCGGUGAAAUGCGUAGAUAUUAGGAGGAACACCAGUUGCGAAGGCGGCUCUCUGGACUGUAACUGACACUGAGGCACGAAAGCGUGGGGAGCAAACAGGAUUAGAUACCCUUGUAGUC